rnacentral:rRNA from 1 species
UGCAGUCGAACGGCAGCACAGAGGAGCUUGCUCCUUGGGUGGCGAGUGGCGGACGGGUGAGGAAUACAUCGGAAUCUACUUUUUCGUGGGGGAUAACGUAGGGAAACUUACGCUAAUACCGCAUACGACCUACGGGUGAAAGCAGGGGACCUUCGGGCCUUGCGCGAUUGAAUGAGCCGAUGUCGGAUUAUCUAGUUGGCGGGGUAAAGGCCCACCAAGGCGACGAUCCGUAGCUGGUCUGAGAGGAUGAUCAGCCACACUGGAACUGAGACACGGUCCAGACUCCUACGGGAGGCAGCAGUGGGGAAUAUUGGACAAUGGGCGCAAGCCUGAUCCACCCAUACCGCGUGGGUGAAGAAGGCCUUCGGGUUGUAAAGCCCUUUUGUUGGGAAAGAAAUCCAGCUGGCUAAUACCCGGUUGGGAUGACGGUACCCAAAGAAUAAGCACCGGCUAACUUCGUGCCAGCAGCCGCGGUAAUACGAAGGGUGCAAGCGUUACUCGGAAUUACUGGGCGUAAAGCGUGCGUAGGUGGUCGUUUAAGUCCGUUGUGAAAGCCCUGGGCUCAACCUGGGAACUGCAGUGGAUACUGGGCGACUAGAGUGUGGUAGAGGGUAGCGGAAUUCCUGGUGUAGCAGUGAAAUGCGUAGAGAUCAAGAGGAACAUCCAUGGCGAACGCAGCUACCUGGACCAACACUGACACUGAGGCACGAAAGCGUGGGGAGCAAACAAGAUUAGAUACCCUGGUAGUCCACGCCCUAAACGAUGCGAACUGGAUGUUGGGUGCAAUUUGGCACGCACUAUCGAAGCUAACGCGUUAAGUUCGCCGCCUGGGGAGUACGGUCGCAAGACUGAAACUCAAAGGAAUUGACGGGGGCCCGCACAAGCGGUGGAGUAUGUGGUUUAAUUCGAUGC